rnacentral:rRNA from 1 species
GUUUUAUAUUUAUUAAUAUUUAAAAAUUAGAAUUUUAUUUUUAUUUAUAAUUAUUUUAUUGGGGUGAUAUAUAAAUUUAAUAAACUUUAUAUUUUUAAUAACAUUAAUUAAUGAUAAAUUGAUCCAUUAUAAUGAUUAAAAGAAAAAAU